AAAACAAGAGAAGAAUAGAGUUAGAAAGAUCUUCUCUAAAGGGAGUCUCCACAGGGUUUUGCUCCCAAAGUACAAAAGAGAUAGAGAAUAGCCUCUCCAAGCUUAUGUCUAAACAAUGACCUAAAAACUAUAUAAAUAUGUCUUAAAAACGUGUUGGGUCUUCAUUAAACAUAGGAGAAAGUUCUGGGCCGAAUUUGGAAAUCUUCAAAACAUCAAUAAGUUGCGUCUCAAAAUUGGCGUCAGGUAUUGGUGGCGCUCGAUAUCAGGGGUGUUGUCGUUCGACACCUACGUGCAUUUUCGUCUCCGGAUUUCUUCAGCAGCAUAAAUUCUCUGUUUUCUUCCAGAAUGCUUCAUUAUCUCCAAAUGAAUCACAAUCAUGUAAAGACCUGAAAAAGACUAGAAAAGACUCUAGAAAUAACAAAUAGACUUUAAAACCUAUACCUAAAACAUAGUUAAAAAUUGGGAUAUAUCAACUCCCCUAGACUUAGCUUUUGCUUGUCGUCAAGCAAAACACAAAAGCCGAACCCGUGGAAGAGGUUUGAAAACACAGGAACUCCUAACAUUCUCUAGUCUAUUGCCUUGAUCAUUCUAACCAAAUCCAUAUGCCUAGCAGUUCUAAUCAAAUCCUAACCAACAUGUAUUUCUCUGCAAGCUUACACAACAUUCUAGAUUCCAUAC
rnacentral:sRNA from 1 species